rnacentral:rRNA from 1 species
UACGAAGGGGGCUAGCGUUGCUCGGAUUUACUGGGCGUAAAGGGCGCGUAGGCGGUCAGCACAAGUCAGUUGUGAAAUCUCCGGGCUUAACUCGGAAAGGUCAACUGAUACUGUGCGACUAGAGUGCAGAAGGGGCAACUGGAAUUCUCGGUGUAGCGGUGAAAUGCGUAGAUAUCGAGAGGAACACCUGCGGCGAAGGCGGGUUGCUGGGCUGACACUGACGCUGAGGCGCGAAAGCCAGGGGAGCGAACGGG